UUAGAAAGGGGUCAAGCCACACGUAGUUCAUAUUAGAAUAAGUGAGCUAGGCCGUCAUUGGAGGUAGGUCGGCAGGUAGUUGACGAGCCGGCAGAUGUGCGACAAGCUGGAUGAACCGUGGUAGAGAGACGAGUUGGAUAAACCGAGUUGUUUGCUGAAGGUCUAGACGAGCUGGACGACGAGAUAGGUGGACUAUGCAGUCAAUGGACGAACUGCCGCUAGGCGAGGAGGUAGAUGAGUUUUGUUUUCGAGGGAUGAGCUGAUAGCUAGACGAGGAGUUGGACGAGCUGUAUAGAUGACAGCUAGACGAGGAGAUGGUCGUUGAGUGGAGCAUGAAGACGAGCUGAGAAGCUUGAAGACGAGUUGAGGAGCUUGAAGACGAGCUU
rnacentral:sRNA from 1 species